GUAGCUCGCGAAGUGGGCGCGGUCGUAGGGGCCCGGGAAGGUGGAAGCGCCGGGCCUGGAAGAGGCGCGGGGACAGGGCACUCCCUGGGUGCCCUAGACCUGGCCUCUCUCCUCCCUGCGCUGCAGACCAACGCGUGGCGGCUGAGCGAGGUGAACGAGGACUUCAGCUUGUGCCCCAGAUACCCCCGUGCGGUGAUCGUGCCAUACUUGGUGGACGAUGAUGCCCUGGCGCGCAGCGCCCGCUUCCGUCAGGGAGGUCGCUUCCCGGUGCUCAGCUACCACCCGGCUCCCAGCGGCAGAGGGAGCGCGCCCUCCCCACGCUCCGCCCCUGGGUGGCUGCGUCCUUUCUGGGCCUUUUCUUUUUGGCCCGGUCAAUUCGCGGCGUAGCCGCUGCCCCAACUCCUGCCCCAUUCUGGUCCCGCCCCUCUCCCGCCUUUUCGCUGGGAAGGGUAUCACCUUUCUCUGGCCCCGCCCCUGACGGUUCCGGGCCCCGCGAAGCUUAGUCCCUUCUUUGUCAAGCCAGGACCCGCCCACGGUCUAUUCAUAGGGUCCCAAACCACUUUGGCCACAACACCCCCAGACUGGUCCGAAGCCUCGUGAGUUCGCCCUGGUCGUUGCACUCCAGCCUGUCGCUGUGCAGACCUGGCUUAGAGGACCCCUAAGGCUGAGGGGUCACUUCCAGAACUGAGUCCGGUCCGCAGGUUCUGCUACGCUCCAGCCAGCCCCUAACUGGUCCCCAGAAGCGGCGCUGCUACAGGGACCAGGAGCUGCUGCGAACUGCGCUGGCGGGGGCUCGUCCUUGGGCGCGGGGCUUCAUCAUGGACACGCUCUCGGCCCAGGCCGCGAAACAAGCCCGCGUGACUGGCGGAGGCACAGAGACCAAGGCCGCUUAACCUGGCUGGUUGCACUGGUCCCUGGAGAGCACUGAGCACAGGGGCUGCCACAGUGGCCGGCUCAGACAUGGCAGAGAUCAGCAGAGAAUGGGCAAUCAGGCUCCCCUGAGAUGAGCAGCAGCGCAGAGGAGGUGCCCCUCUCUUACUACACCAACUUCAGGAUUCUGUGUCUCCCUCAUUGGUCUUGAGCACUUGCUCCCUGGCUGUACUUGGCAAGGGCUUGAGCUGGAAAAGAUGACCAGACUCCCACCGCCCAGAGGGCGUCCCCUGCAGGAGAGCUUCAUGCGCCUGGUGGAGGCCUGUGGGGACUCGGAGCAAAGCAUGGACAACUGGCUGAGUCGGCUGGACGGCUGCCGCUGACUGUAACAUGUAAAGCAGGCACUGAGCACCACCUGCCUGGCAGUCCAGGGCAUGGAGAGGCACAGACAGCACCCUGCUUGUGACUUCACUGGCCCAACUCAUCCUGGACCCCUUGAGCAAGACCAUGGCUGGAUUCCAGGAACUGGUGGAGUGGAAGUGGAUCCAGGAAAAUGCCGUGUGAAGGGAGGACUCAGAUGCACUCCCUGUGGUCUGGGCUCAACCAGCCAAAAGAGCAACAAAGACUCCAGAACCCACUCUACCUCCUCAAUCCCUUGGCCAUCUGUGGAGCCCCAGAGCCUGCGGCUGUGGCAAGGCCUGUUUCUGCGCUGGACCUGCUCACCUGAGCCUGCAGAAGCUGCAUGGGGGAAGAGUGUGGCAAAUAGUGACAGGAAGGGAGAAGACAGAAGCCUCUCAGCCAACUGCUUCAGCCGAGCCCCUAUUCUAAGCACUGGCUCCUUGGAUAGCAGCUGAGAUGUUCCUGAAACCUCUGCAGGCCCCUUAGGACCUUUACACCUUGGAUGAGGGUGCCUGCAACCCAGGUUAGCCAAAAGUACUGAGGGUCUUAAGUUUGAAGUGUCCAAAGUAUAGGGAGGUCUCAAUAAUAAAAGUCUCCAUGAUCAGCAUC
ensembl:lncRNA novel transcript